GACGAACGCUGGCGGCGUGCUUAACACAUGCAAGUCGAACGGAAAGGCCCCUUUGGGGGUCCUCGAGUGGCGAACGGGUGAGUAACACGUGAGUAACCUGCCCUUGACUUCGGGAUAACUUCAGGAAACUGGGGCUAAUACCGGAUAGGAAUCCUUGCUGCAUGGUGGGGGUUGGAAAGCUUCGGCGGUUUUGGAUGGACUCGCGGCUUAUCAGCUUGUUGGUGGGGUAGUGGCUUACCAAGGCUUUGACGGGUAGCCGGCCUGAGAGGGCGACCGGCCACAUUGGGACUGAGAUACGGCCCAGACACCUACGGGAGGCAGCAGUGGGGAAGAUUGCACAAUGGGCGGAAGCCUGAUGCAGCAACGCCGCGUGCGGGAUGACGGCCUUCGGGUUGUAAACCGCUUUCAGCAGGGGCGAAGCUUGUGGUGACGGUACCUGCAGAAGAAGCACCGGCUAACUACGUG
rnacentral:rRNA from 1 species